GACGAACGCUGGCGGCGUGCUUAACACAUGCAAGUCGAACGGAAAGGCCCUGCUUUUGUGGGGUGCUCGAGUGGCGAACGGGUGAGUAACACGUGAGUAACCUGCCCUUGACUUUGGGAUAACUUCAGGAAACUGGGGCUAAUACCGGAUAGGAGCUCCUGCUGCAUGGGGGGGGUUGGAAAGUUUCGGCGGUUGGGGAUGGACUCGCGGCUUAUCAGCUUGUUGGUGGGGUAGUGGCUUACCAAGGCUUUGACGGGUAGCCGGCCUGGGAGGGUGACCGGCCACCUUGGGACUGAGGUACGGCCCAGACUCCUACGGGAGGCAGCAGUGGGGAAUAUUGCACAAUGGGCGGAAGCCUGAUGCAGCAACGCCGCGUGCGGGAUGACGGCCUUCGGGUUGUAAACCGCUUUCGCCUGUGACGAAGCGUGAGUGACGGUAAUGGGUAAAGAAGCACCGGCUAACUACGUG
rnacentral:rRNA from 1 species